AUUGAACGCUGGCGGCAGGCCUAACACAUGCAAGUCGAACGAGUGGCGGACGGGUGAGUAAUGUCUGGGCAACUGCCUGAUGGAGGGGGAUAACUACUGGAAACGGUAGAUACUACCGCAUAACAUAGUCUGUGCCCAGCUGGGAUUAUCUAGUAGGUGGGGUAAAGGCUCACCAAGGCGACGAUCACUAGCUGGUCUGAGAGGAUGACCAGCCACACUGGAACUGAGACACGGUCCAGACUCCGACGGGAGGCAGCAGUGGGGAAUAUUGGACAAUGGGCGAAAGCCUGAUGCAGCCAUGCCGCGUGUAUGAAGAAGGCCUUCGGGUUGUAAAGUACUUUCAGUGGGGAGGCGUUACCCGCAGAAGAAGCACCGGCUAACUCCGUGCCAGCAGCCGCGGUAAUAC
rnacentral:rRNA from 1 species